GGCAACCUGUUAGGGUCUGCUUUUGUCCUCUGGGAGCUUUCCUUGUUUGGUUUUCGUAGUAAAUCUUACUGCUGCUCAGUGUUUGUGUCUGUGCUGCGUUUGUGAGCUGCAACGCUCACGGUAAAGGUCUACAGCUUCACUCCCGAAGCCAGCGAGACUGUAAAUCCACUGGGAGGGGCAAAGAACUCUGGACGUGCUGCAUUUUUAGGAGCUGUGACACUCACCGCGGAGGUUUGCAGUUUCACUCCUGAAAUCAGUGUAGACCACGAACGCACCAGAAGGAACAAACUCCAGACACACCGUUUUUAGGUAACCGUAACAUGUACCGCGAGGGUCUGCGGCUUCAUUCUUGAAGACGAGACUAAGAACCCACCAACUUCUGGACACAAAACCACCCCAAAAAGUGAGUUUCUAAAGGAGAAGCUAAAAAUAAAGACCACGAAAGUGUUGCCCAUGGUGAUAGCUCCAGACGUCCGGAGACGGUGUUCAGCGCUGCUGCAGGAGAGUUGGGGACUAAGUGUCCUUCGGUUUGGACUGUGCAGCUCGGGUCACCUUCUCUGUGGAACAGCAAGUGAAGAAAGAGGCGCAGAGCCCUGUGUUCCAAACCCUGGAGACAAUUGAGAAAGUGGGAACCCAUUAUUCCCCAAGCCCAGCCAGC
rnacentral:lncRNA from 1 species